CGGCACAAGACGUUUUAAAGACGCCUUUUCUGGAGCUUUUUUGCGCAUGAAAUAUGCGCGCACCCGAAAUACGUCUUUUAAACGUCUUUAAAACGCAUGUGUCAGACGCGCAUUUUAAAGGCGUCUUUAAUGCGUCUUUUUCAGGCACGGUCUUUUUCGUUUGUGAUAAAAGACGUCUUUAAGACGUCUUUUUCGUGCAUAAUUAAGACGCGCAUUUGAAAGACGCAAAAAAGAUCGAGAAAAGACCGGUUUUUAUUCGUGAUAUAAUUGGUCUACUAUUUCUCCGCGGGUAACAUGUUUAAUUACUUCUUUCAUGUAAAAACGAUAAUGCCAAUAAAAAAAUAUAUCUCACAAUAACUUGAUUUUAAAAACUUGUAUUGUAUUAAAAUAGCAGAGUAAAUCUGUAUUUAUCAUUCAAAAGAGUGAUUAAAGAGUAAAAAACUUAAUUAUUACCCCCGUCUGUACAAUUUUAAACGUCUGAAGUGGCGGUAACUUUUAAACAAAACCAAGUCGAGAAGGGAAACCGGUUGGUUGCAGAGAGUAAGUUAAAAUUGUUUUUGUUUUUAUUUGCAUUAUUCAUCAAAUGAGUUCUGGCAAUAUGGUAGCCCAAUGAGCUGAGGCUUGUUUCUUCGUAAAACUGAUCGUAUUUUUUCAUGAGCACCAAAAAAGUUAUCUUUUUAUUUUGUGAAACGAGUUUGGGGACUAAGAGCUAUGGAUCGUAUACAGUUAAGAUGCUAUUGCACGAAAGUACCCUGCAGCCACGGAGAACGAUGUGCGCAAUCAAAUUGCAAUAAAGCUAAAAAACGCCCCUGAUCAAAAGGGCGGUGCCGGUCGCCAAAAAGCAAACCAGCCGGAAUGAAAUAUUUAAUAUUUUUGUUAUUGUUUUUCUGUUUGUUUAUUUCGCUCCACAGGAUUUGGAACUGUUAGUCUUUAUUUAUUUAUCACGAGCAUUUAUACAUGAUAGUCAUUCAAAAACUAC